GACGAACGCUGGCGGUGUGCUUCACACAUGCAAGUCGAACGAGGUAGCAAUACCUAGUGGCGGACGGGUGAGUAACGCGUGGGAAUCUGCCUUUAGAUGGGGGAUAACGGGUCGAAAGACUCGCUAAUACCGCAUAUGACGAAAGUUGAAAGGAGUAAUCCGUCUAAAGAUGAGCCCGCGUCCGAUUAGCUAGUUGGUAGAGUAAAAGCCUACCAAGGCGACGAUCCGGUAGCUGGUCUGAGAGGAUGAUCAGCCACAAUGGGACUAGAGACACGGCCCAUACUCCUACGGAGGCAGCAGUGGGGAAUUUUACGCAAUGGGCGAAAGCCUGACGUAGCGACACCGCGUGAGCGAAGAAGCCCUUGGGGUGUAAAGCUCUGUCAGCUGGAACGAAAAAAAUGACGGUACCAGCAGAGGAAGCAUCGGCUAACUACGU
rnacentral:rRNA from 1 species